UGGCCACAGAGCAGACAAGGACGAGCGCCUCCCCUUUAACCACCUGGUCCCUCUGGGGCUGUGUCUCCAGGAGCACUCCAGACACAGGGAUUCCUGUGUGAACACAGGACGACAGAGGCAUCUGGAUGAUCCCUAAGAGAAGAGAAGUGGGCUCCUCUACUUGUUCAGGUCAUUGCCUCCGCAUGAAAGAGAGUGGUUAGCGCACGAACAGCCUGGUGUUUUGGAUCUGCCCCAGGAGGGAAAGCAGACAAUACAGUGGAGAGGAGCAAGAGACUAUUGCCUGAAAGUUUGUUCAGAAAGAAGGGGGGAGUCAACCACCACAGUGCUCUGCGAUUCAACCCUGCAGCCUUGGGCUUCUUUGGGGGAAAAUUUUUUGGUUGACAGUGGAAUUAGAAAUUCAGGUUUAAAAAUAAAUUUGGAAUUGUUGUUCAGU